GUGGGGAAUAUUGGACAAUGGGGGCAACCCUGAUCCAGCCAUGCCGCGUGAGUGAUGAAGGCCUUAGGGUUGUAAAGCUCUUUCGGCGGGGACGAUAAUGACGGUACCCGCAGAAGAAGCCCCGGCUAACUUCGUGCCAGCAGCCGCGGUAAUACGAAGGGGGCUAGCGUUGCUCGGAAUCACUGGGCGUAAAGCGCACGUAGGCGGAUCUUUAAGUCAGGGGUGAAAUCCCAAGGCUCAACCUUGGAACUGCCUUUGAUACUGGGGAUCUCGAGUCCGGAAGAGGUGAGUGGAACUGCGAGUGUAGAGGUGAAAUUCGUAGAUAUUCGCAAGAACACCAGUGGCGAAGGCGGCUCACUGGUCCGGUACUGACGCUGAGGUGCGAAAGCGUGGGGAGCAAACAGGAUUAGAUACCCGAGUAGUCC
rnacentral:rRNA from 1 species